AAAUCUUUUUUGUUCUUAUAUUGAUCAAUGGAUAAUGAUGAAUAGGGUGCAGUGGAUUUUUCCUACCAGGUGAGCUUCAUUCUUACCAUCUUCAGGAUAAUAGGAGGACUUGGACGAUAAUAAGGGAUGCAAAAAUUAUUUCGUGGUUAAAGAACGGAUGCAAAAAUUAUGGACUUAGGGUCGUAUACCAAACGC